GACAUGCACUUAGUGGAAGCAGUGAAAGCUCUGAUAAGUGCUCAUGUUGGUUACCAUUCACGAGACCAUAACAAGGACCUGCUGCCAGCCAUCAUGUCCUGGUCCUGACCUGCCUUUGGGAGGCUGACUCAGCCGUCUAGGUUGGCGAGCGGGUUCCUGCUUCUGGUCACCAGCCACGAUGGUGCAGUGACCAGCCACCAUGGUGCAUGCAUGGGUAGAUCUGUCUGAUAUAAAGUGUUAAUGCAGGCUU